AUAUCCUAUAGGUUUUGGAUGCUGGAAUGCACCAAAACUGAAAACCUCGGUGUAUAGGGAUGAAUCUGCGGUCUAUCAGGUAGUUGGUAGUGUAAAGGACUACCAAGCCUAUGACGGGUACGGGCCUUGGGAGAGGGAGCCCGGAGAUGGAUUCUGAGACAUAAAUCCAGGUCCUACGGGGCGCAGCAGGCGCGAAAACUCCGCAAUGCUCGAAAGAGUGACGGGGGAAACUCGAGUGCUCUGGUUUUUACCAGGGCUUUUCUUAAAUCUAAAAAAUUCAGGGAAUAAGGGCUGGGUAAGACGGGUGCCAGCCGCCGCGGUAAUACCCGCAGCCCGAGUGGCGGUCGUUAUUAUUGGGCUUAAAGCGUUCGUAGCCGUUCUAGUAAAUGCCUGGGUAAAUCAUGGAGCUUAACUUCAUGCUUCCUAGGUAGACUGCUAGAAUUGAAGCAGAAUUGAGCUAGAGGUACUCUGGAGGUAAGGGUAAAAUCUUGUAAUCUUCAGAGGACCACCAGUGGCGAAGGCGUCUAGCUAGGACUGACUUGACGGUGAGGAACGAAGGCCAGGGGAGCAAACGGGAUUAGAUACCCCGGUAGUCCUGGCUGUAAACGCUGCCUGCUUG
rnacentral:rRNA from 1 species